rnacentral:rRNA from 1 species
CAGGGAAUCUUGCGCAAUGGGCGAAAGCCUGACGCAGCAACGCCGCGUGGGGGAUGAAGGCCUUCGGGUUGUAAACCCCUUUCAGGAGGGAAGAAAUUGACGGUACCUCCAGAAGAAGCCCCGGCCAUCUACCUGCCAGCUGCCCCGGUAAUUCGUAGGGGGCAAGCGUUGUCCGGAAUUAUUGGGCGUAAAGAGCUCGUAGGCGGCUCAGCAAGUCGGCUGUGAAAUCCCGAGGCUCAACCUCGGAACUGCAGUCGAUACUGCUGUGGCUAGAGUCUGGUAGAGGAGAAUGGAAUUCCCAGUGUAGCGGUGAAAUGCGCAGAUAUUGGGAGGAACACCAGUAGCGAAGGCGGUUCUCUGGGCCAGCACUGACGCUGAGGAGCGAAAGCGUGGGUAGCAAACAGGAUUAGAUACCCCCGUAGUCC